rnacentral:rRNA from 1 species
UGGCUCAGAACGAACGCGGGCGGCGUGCCUAACACAUGCAAGUCGAGCGAGAAAAGGGGGGCAACUCCCUGAGUAAAGCGGCGAACGGGUGAGUAACACGUAGGUGAUCUACCCUCGAGUCCAGGAUAACCUACCGAAAGGUGGGCUAAUACCGGAUAUGACCACGGGAGUUACGGCUCCUGCGGUGAAAGGUGGCCUCUGCUUGCAAGCUACCGCUCAAGGAUGAGCCUGCGCGCCAUUAGCUAGUUGGUGGGGUAACGGCCCACCAAGGCGAUGAUGGCUAGCUGGUCUGAGAGGAUGGCCAGCCACACUGGGACUGGAACACGGCCCAGACUCCUACGGGAGGCAGCAGUGGGGGAUAUUGCGCAAUGGGCGAAAGCCUGACGCAGCGACGCCGCGUGGGUGAUGAAGGCCUUCGGGUCGUAAAGCCCUGUCGAGGGGAACGAAACGGCUCCGACCUAAUACGUCGGGGCCCUGACGGUACCCCUAAAGGAAGCACCGGCUAACUCCGUGCCAGCAGCCGCGGUAAUACGGAGGGUGCGAGCGUUGUUCGGAAUCACUGGGCGUAAAGGGCGUGUAGGCGGUCUGCUAAGUCUGAUGUGAAAGCCCGGGGCUCACCCCCGGAAGGGCAUUGGAAACUAGCGGACUCGAGUCCCGGAGAGGAGAGUGGAAUUCCUGGUGUAGCGGUGAAAUGCGUAGAUAUCAGGAGGAACACCGGUGGCGAAGGCGGCUCUCUGGACGGUGACUGACGCUGAGACGCGAAAGCGUGGGGAGCAAACAGGAUUAGAUACCCUGGUAGUCCACGCUGUAAACGAUGAGCACUAGGUGUCGUGGGUAUUGACCCCCGCGGUGCCGCAGCUAACGCAUUAAGUGCUCCGCCUGGGGACUACGGCCGCAAGGU